UCCUUUGAGGUCGGAUGUUAGAAAGGGUAAGAUUAAAUUUGGUGGCUCCUGCCAUCAGUAGUACAUACAUAUUGAAUACCCAAUUUUUCUGAAAC